rnacentral:rRNA from 1 species
AUCGAACUCUGGCGGCAGGCCUAACACAUGCAAGUCGCACGAGUGGCGGACGGGUGAGUUAUGUCUGGGCAACUGCCUGAUGGAGGGGGAUCACUACUGGAAACGGUAGCUAAUACCGCAUACAAUCGGAUGUGCCCAGAUGGGAUUAGCUAGUAGGUGGGGUAACGUCUCACCUGGGCGACGAUCCCUAGCUGGUCGGAGAGGGUGACCGGCCACAUGGGAACGGUGACACGGUCCAGACUCCUAUGGUAGUGAGCCGUGGGGAAUAGUGGAUAGUGGGAGAAAGCCUGAUGCAGCCACGCGGCGUGUAUGAGUGAGGCUUGUGGGUUGUAAAUUACUUCCUGCGGGGAGGCGUUACCCGCAGAAGAAGCACUGGCUAACUUCGUGCCAUCAGCCGCGGUAAUAC